UUCCGGUUGAUCUGGCCGGACCGGACUGCUAUCGGAUUGGUACUAAGUCAUGCGAGUCAUUGUAGCAAUACAAGGCGGACGGCUCAGUAACACGUAGUCAACCUAACUCGUGGACGUGGAUAACCUCGGGAAACUGAGAAUAAACCACGAUAGAUCAUAGUGCCUGGAAUGGCUUAUGGUCCAAACAGUUUACUGCCAUGGGAUGGGACUGCGGCCUAUCAGCUUGUUGGUGAGGUAAUGGCCCACCAAGGCGAUUACAGGUACGGGCUCUGAGAGGAGAAGCCCGGAGAUGGGUACUGAGACACGGACCCAGGCCCUAUGGGGCGCAGCAGGCGAGAAACCUUAGCAAUGUGCGAAAGCACGACUGGGUCAGUCCGAGUGAUUCCUGAUAAAGGAGUCUUUUGCUUGUCCUAAAAGCACAGGUGAAUAAGGGGUGGGCAAGUCUGGUGUCAGCCGCCGCGGUAAUACCAGCACCUCGAGUGGUCAGGACGUUUAUUGGGCCUAAAGCAUCCGUAGCCGGCUCUGCAAGUCUUCGGUUAAAUCCACCUGCUCAACAGAUGGGCUGCUGGAGAUACUACAGAGCUAGGGAGUGGGAGAGGCAGACGGUAUUCAGUGGGUAGGGGUAAAAUCCUCUGAUCCAUUGAGGACCACCAGUGGCGAAGGCGGUCUGCCAGAACACGUUCGACGGUGAGGGAUGAAAGCUGGGGGAGCAAACCGGAUUAGAUACCCGGGUAGUCCCAGCUGUAAACGAUGCAAACUCGGUGAUGCAUUGGCUUAUGGCCAAUGCAGUGCCGCAGGGAAGCCGUUAAGUUUGCCGCCUGGGAAGUACGGACGCAAGUCUGAAACUUAAAGGAAUUGGCGGGGGAAGCA
rnacentral:rRNA from 1 species